GUGUGCUGAUCUUCAGAUAUGUGCACGCCUCGUUCCAAAUUUUUAUCACCCUGUGCACUUUUUUGUAGACUGAGAAAUUGGUCUAUGUUUUUCAAAUACCCUUAUAAAAAUGUUUUGAAUGUUAUUCUAAAUAAUAAUACAACUUUCAACAACGGAUCUCUUGGCUCUCGCAUCGAUGAAGAACGCAGCGAAACGCGAUAAGUAAUGUGAAUUGCAGAAUUCAGUGAAUCAUCGAAUCUUUGAACGCACCUUGCGCUCCUUGGUAUUCCGAGAAGCAUGCCUGUUUGAGCGUCAUUAAAUUCUCAACCCUUUGAAUUUUUUU
rnacentral:rRNA from 1 species